rnacentral:rRNA from 1 species
ACUCAAAGGAAUAGACGGGGGCCCGCACAAGCGGUGGAGCAUGUGGUUUAAUUCGAUGCAACGCGAAGAACCUUACCUACUCUUGACAUCUUGGGAAUCUGAUUGAGAGAUUGGAGUGCCGAAAGGAGCCCAAAGACAGGUGCUGCAUGGCUGUCGUCAGCUCGUGUCGUGAGAUGUUGGGUUAAGUCCCGUAACGAGCGCAACCCUUAUCCUUAGUUGCCAGCACGUAAAGGUGGGAACUCUAAGGAGACUGCCGGUGAUAAACCGGAGGAAGGUGGGGAUGAGGUCAAGUCAUCAUGGCCUUUAUGAGUAGGGCCACACACGUGCUACAAUGGUCGGUACAGAGGGAAGCCAACCCGCGAGGGGGAGCAAAACUCAGAAAGCCGAUCGUAGUCCGGAUCGGAGUCUGGAAUUCGACUCCGUGAAGUCGGAAUCGCUAGUAAUCGCGGAUCAGAACGCCGCGGUGAAUACGUUCCCGGGCCUUGUACACACCGCCCGU